rnacentral:tRNA from 1 species
GCCCGGAUGGCGGAAUUGGUAGACGCGCUGGACUUAAAAUCCAGUGACCAUUAGGUUGUGCGGGUUCAAGUCCCGCUCCGGGUA